rnacentral:rRNA from 1 species
UAGGGAAUCUUGCACAAUGGACGAAAGUCUGAUGCAGCGACGCCGCGUGCGGGAUGAAUGCCUUCGGGUUGUAAACCGCUUUCAGCAGGGACGAAAUUGACGGUACCUGCAGAAGAAGCCCCGGCCAACUACGUGCCAGCAGCCGCGGUAAUACGUAGGGGGCAAGCGUUGUCCGGAUUUAUUGGGCGUAAAGAGCUCGUAGGCGGUUCGAUGAGUCGGACGUGAAAUCUCCACGCUCAACGUGGAGGGGCCGUUCGAUACUGUCGUGACUCGAGUCCGGUAGGGGAGUGUGGAAUUCCCGGUGUAGCGGUGAAAUGCGCAGAGAUCGGGAGGAACACCCGUAGCGAAGGCGGCACUCUGGGCCGGUACUGACGCUGAGGAGCGAAAGCGUGGGGAGCAAACAGGAUUAGAUACCCGCGUAGUCC